GUUUACGGCCAUACCACGCUGAAAUUGCCAGUUCUCGUCAGAACACUGAAGCCAAGCAGCGUCGGGCGCGGUUAGAGUACUUGGAUGGGUGACCGCUUGGGAACACCGCGUGCUGUAAGCU